rnacentral:lncRNA from 1 species
GUCAGCCAGACGUCUGGACUGAGUGUCCACUAUCACCUAAAGCACACACGUAUUGAUAGACAGAUGUAAGUUCGGACCAAAUACAGAACAGCGGAAAUACAGGCAUGAAACACCUGGAGAACUGGCUUGGUUAUGCUCUGCACCCUCUCCAGGACACGGCACAUCCUGAGCUCCAAGGCACCUUGCUCGGCCAAUAAAGUCUCCAGUCCCAGCUGCACAUCCUGGGCUGCAUUCUCCAGCCUGUCGCUCUGUGCGGUCAUCAUCUGGAGGUUCUUCGUCACCUGCCUUUGGGUCCUUCCUACCUGCACACCUUGCUCUCGUAACCUCUCCACAGCCUGGGUGUCUCCCACCAGCUCCUCUGACACUUGGUCACCCUGCCUCUCCAUCCUCCAGGCACUCUCCUGCACCCCCUGGAGCAUUUGGAGCAGCCCCACAGAAAGCACCUGUAUCUGGGCCACAGGAACCUGGCCUCUAUGGAGGGUUUACCUGGUGAUGGGGAGUGCCAUGCCAGGCUGAGGCCCACCAGGCAGACGGACAGCUGUAACACCCGGCUCACCCGCAUGGCCUGGUAUGGAGAGAUCCCCUUCAACUCAGUUUAGAAUGAGAAAGUAUCAAAUUGUAGGUAGAUGUGCUUGUGGAUCCAGUAAACUGAUGUGAUGAGCCUUUAUACCCAGAACCUGUUGGAUCUUGAUCAGAUGGCAAUGAGGAAAAUCCAGAUCUGAUGAGACCUCACAGAAUUCUGGGUGUACUGCAGGUCUGUCCUGAGGAGGUGUGGAGCUCAGACUGAUGUUGGAUAGAGAGAUGAGGAGAGGGAGGGGAGCUGGAAAGAGACAGUGGGUGUUCCCAGACUGACACCAGCCUUGCAGCCAAACAGACCCAUUGACUCAAAUUGUUUAGAAUUCACUGGAAUAAUCAGUUCCAUUAAUAACCAUUGCCACUACUAAAGAUCAGUCAUACAGUCCCUCCCUUCAGAGGAGUGACAAACUGUUAAAUACAUCUGCUUUGAAUUUACAUUUAAAAAAUGUGGCUACUUAUUAAAUUUGAAUCUGACAUUUACAGACUCUAAUAAUCAAAACCUUAGGUGCAAUUUGGGAAACAUUUGAGAAAUUACAAAUUCUUUCUUGGCCUUAGUUUUAUUGAUGGAAGUCAAGCAAGGGUUAUAUCUGCUGGCCGUCUGUGGUGUUGCAGGCACAUGCAGAAUGCUGAAGGUGUUACCAUUAUUCGUGUGUGUGGUGUGGACUCCUGGCAAAGCCUGUGUAAUCUAACAAGUAUGUCAAUGGCUUGGUUUCCAUCCAAAUCUGCAUACAAACAAUAUGCUCCAUUUUCCCACCAGAGUUGUUUGCAUUACAUUUACUUUUUGCGGAUUAAAAUAAAUGUCCGUGAUGACGUAAUGCACAGAAAAAAUAAUUUUGCGGUUAAAUUACCAUGUACCGAAUAAAAAAUACAAUGAAAUUGGUUUCCAUCGCAUUUUCAAAUCUACUGAUCGUUUUGUGACAAAACAUGUUGGGUUAUAGCGAAUGUCCCCACUUGCGUCUUUGCACGUGCGCUCUCGCCGACAGCUCGCCGAUACAGUAGAUGCAGGUAGGCUGCAUACACAAUGAUAUUCCUAUUAUGGACAAGAGAGCGAAAGCAUUACAUUUAUUAGGCUACAGAUUAAAUAAAUAAAUAAACUUCACAGGGUGUUGAAAGUGCACGUGAUCUUGAUGCUGCUUUCCAGUAAAUAUCGAAGGUCUGAUUCUAGUGAUAUGAUGAUCGAUGCUUGACUGCCGUUUGACAAACACAAAUAUUCACAAUAAUCGCAUCAUGUGGGUCUACCCUCAUAGCCUAGUUUCUGCGAGCUGUUGGCUAGAACGCACGUUCAAAAACCUGAGUAGGCACAUUCACUAUUUAAUAACGCCAAAGAAUGUUUGUGAUAUAACUAUAGAAACACAUUGAAAAAUAAAUGUUGUGUGCACUACGUCUCUACACACAGAUUUUUAUCCACAACAAGUCCGUUUGGUGAAAAUAUUCAUAUUUACUUUAUGCGGAAUUUUUCAUAUCCUAGCUACUAACACACAAAUAUCCCACCUUGUCUAGCGUAUUUGGUUUGGAAAGUUUACCGACAAAUUAGCUGUUUCCAUCAGGCCUGUAGUAAAAAUGUUUAUCCAACAUACUUUACUUGCAUAUAAAGAUUGGAUGGAACCUGGUUAAUGAGAACUCAUCAUUUCUUCCCGAGACCGAUGUAGUAAAAAAACCUCAGAAUAUCAGCACCCAUUCAGUCAGCGGAUAAAAACGCUUUGCCAGGCCACACUCCUUUUAUGACACAUUAAUAUAUUUCCGCCUAUUGAGACCUGCGCUUCCUACUUUACUCCUAACAUUACUG